CUGCAGGGGUUAAUUCUUCUACAGGAGCUCUCCGCCCUCUUAUGAGAAGAGACUUUUCCACUUUCGGUUCCUGCUCCUCCAUACCACAAUGGCGUCUGCUGAUCUGAGGGCCGAGCUGGACUGCUCCAUCUGCCUGAGCUUCUAUACAGAUCCCGUAUCCCUGAGAUGUGGACACAACUUCUGCCGCUUCUGUAUUGUGAGUGCGCUGGAGGCACAGGAGGCAGCUGGAGUGUAUUCCUGUCCUGACUGCAGAGCAGAAUAUCCGGAGCGUCCGGCCCUGGAGAAGAACAGGAAGCUGGGGAACAUAGUGGAGCGUUUCUUAUCUGCUCAGCCUGAUAUGGAGGAGACCGGGAUCUUCUGUACUUACUGCGACUCUCCUGUACCGGCUGUGAGGACAUGUCUGCAGUGUGAGACCUCGUUCUGUGAAAAGCACUUGAGUAGACACAGUAAGUCACCAGAACAUACUUUGGUUGAACCUACUGCUACCCCGAAGGAAAGAAAAUGCUCCACACACAAGGAGGUGCUGAAAUACUAUUGUCCGAUGGACGCCGCCUGUAUCUGUGUGUCCUGUUGGGUGGCCGGAGACCACAAGGGACAUGAUGUGGAGCUACUGGACGUGGCCUAUGAGAAGGAGAAAGAGAAACUGAGGAAAUAUCUGAAGGAACUAAACCCACAAAAAGCAGAAAUUCAGACUAAUCUUCAGAAUCUGCAGGAUCGUCAGAGGAAUAUCCAGGAGAAGGUCUCUGAUAAGAGGAAGAAGGUCAGGAAGUUAUUUAUGGACAUUAAGAAACAACUGGAAAUGGCAGAAAAGAAAGCGCUGAGCGAGAUCUCCAGGCAGAAGGAGAAGAUUAUGUCCCAGAUAUCUGAUCUGAUCAAGAAGCUGGAAAUAGAGGAGGACAAGCUGUCCAGGAAGAUGCGUCACGUGGAGGAGAUGUGUCAUAUCACCGACCCAAUAAGACUCCUACAAGAAAGUGACAUUACUGUAUGUGGUCGUGGAGAUGAUGAGGACACAGGGGGAGAUGGUGGAGAGGGCAGGUCUGAGGAUGAUCUGGAUGAGGUUCUGAUCUCACUGACCUUACACCGAUCUAUGAGGGAUAUUGUCACCAAUGUCACAUCAGAGCUCGGGCUCCAUGUUCCAGACAUAUUGCUGGAUGAGGACACUGCUCAUAGACGUGUGAAGAUAUCAGAAGAUCUGAAAACAGCAACAAGAACAGAAGAAGAAAAAGAGGAAGAAGAAGAGGAUGAAGAUGAAGAAGAUAAACAGAACAAACCAGAAUCACCGGGAAGGUUCCUGGAUCAGUCCCAGGUGUUAAGCAGAUGUGGCCUCUCCUCAGAAAGACAUUACUGGGAGGUAGAGUGGGACCAGAAAGGAGGAUGUGACAUCGGACUGUCCUAUCCCAGUAUAGAAAGGAAAGGAUGGCAGUCUGGUAUUGGAUAUAAUGAUAAAUCUUGGUGUUUGUAUAUGUUUGAUGCAGUAUGUGGAGUGUGUCACCGCUCAGUCAUAUCCCCCCUCAGUGUAGAUACAACAUGUCCUAGAUUUGGGGUCUUCUUAGACUAUGAGGCCGGGCGUCUGUCCUUCUAUCGGCUGUGUGACCCCAUCAGACACUUACACACCUUCACCGCCUCCUUCUCUGAACCCCUACAUGUUGUCUUUGGUUUGUGGUCUGGAGCCUCUGUUAGAAUAAUAAGCUGAGGCCGAUGCGUCCACGUCCCGUUAUAAUCUCCGCCUAUAAGUCACUAUAUAGCGCUGAAAAGUUACGUCGUCUGCACACGAGUUCGGGUGAACGCACAUCAGAUCCGCAGCGUAUCCGCACCAAUACCUGCAAUGUGUGAUUACGGUUUUUGGUGCGGAUAAGAUGCUGUUUUCCACUGAAAAGGGUGAAAUCCGCAGCUAAAACCACAAACAUAACUGACAGGCCGCAGAUCUGGGAAUCCGCAUGGAAAUAAUUGGCGAAGUGUACAUGAUCGGGGGAAUCUCAUACACUUUGCUGGUGCUGUAAUUCAUUACGGUUUUUCCACAUGGGAAUUCGCGUGGAAAGACUGAGCGUAUUCCGCAGCGUGCGCAGAUGGCCUUCGGGUACAAGCGCACGGUGCGUAUUACCUGCUGGUUUUUCAGAGUGAAAUAAUACCGCCUAAGCAGAUGGGAUUCUCAGUAUCUCAUCUACACGGAGUGGAAGUUUCCUGCGUCAGGAGUGACCUGCGGAGCGGAUCCGGAGAUCUGCGGCCGGUGGAUUGUCCGUGCGGAUUUCUCCCUUUACAAUGCAGAGGGGGAGAUCUGGGGAAAUCCGUGUCAGGAUCUGCAGGUAACAGGUGUGGAUCCUGGAGCGGAGAUACACCGCCGAGUGCACGUACCUCAUGGGGGCAUCAUUAACCCUUCCCCGUCCUCCACUGAGGUCGCUGUAGGGGCUUCUUUAUGUUUCUGGGACACAUUUGGGGAACAUAUAAUUAUUAUUCAGCUUUUCCUAUUUCUGUAGAGAUGUGACAAUGUGACGCUUCUUUCCGC